AUGCUUAACACAUGCAAGUCGAACGAGACCUUCGGGUCUAGUGGCGCACGGGUGCGUAACGCGUGGGAAUCUGCCCUUUGCUACGGAAUAACUCAGAGAAAUUUGUGCUAAUACCGUAUAAUGUCGUAAGACCAAAGAUUUAUCGGCAAAGGAUGAGCCCGCGUAAGAUUAGCUUGUUGGUGAGGUAAAGGCUCACCAAGGCGACGAUCUUUAGCUGGUCUGAGAGGAUGAUCAGCCACACUGGGACUGAGACACGGCCCAGACUCCUACGGGAGGCAGCAGUGGGGAAUAUUGGACAAUGGGCGAAAGCCUGAUCCCAGCAAUGCCGCGUGAGUGAUGAAGGCCUUAGGGUUGUAAAGCUCUUUUACCAGGGAUGAUAAUGACAGUACCUGGAGAAUAAGCUCCGGCUAACUCCGUG
rnacentral:rRNA from 1 species